ensembl:misc_RNA
UGAUAACGGCAGAGAAUGAAGGUCUCUGUGUAUCUAGGGAACAGGUACAGCAUGGGUAGCUGCAGUGCAAGAUUCUUCCACGCAGCCCUGUCAAUGGGCCUGGAGCCGUCACCUCUAGAUGAGAAGCUAUUUCAGUCUUCAUGCUCCUGUCAUCUUGGGACUCU